GUCUUUUGGAGUUAAAUAAGGUGUAAGGCAGUGCUGCCACUUUAAGAAACUUCUUAGAAGUUUUAAAAUUACUCCUAUUCAUAUAAAUUGUCUAAUUUGCAAAGUGAAUUAUGAUGUGCAUUGCUGGUAAAUCUGCCAUCUGGCAAAUAUAUUGUAUAUGGAUAAUUCUACAGAGUUACAUGAUAAUGUGCUGCCCUGAUCUCCUGAUAGUAC